rnacentral:lncRNA from 1 species
ACUUCUUCCCUUCCUCCUCCCCCUAACAGCAUCCUUGGUAAAACAGGAAACAGAUAAAUAACUGAUUCCUCCCUGCUCCCUCUAACAGCAUCCUUGGUAAAACAGGAAACAGAUAAAUAACUGGUUCCUCCCUGCUCCCCCUAACAGCAGCCUUGGUAAAACAGGAAACAGAUAAAUAACUGGUACCUCCCUGCUCCCCCUAACAGCAGCCUUGGUAAAACAGGAAACAGAUAAAUAACUGGUUCCUCCCUGCUCCCCCUGACAGUAGGUAAAACAGGAAACAGAUAAAUAACUGGUACCCCCCUGCUCCCCCUGACAGUAGGUAAAACAGGAAACAGAUAAAUAACUGAUACCUCCCUGCUCCCCCUGACAGUAGGUAAAACAGGAAACAGAUAAAUAACUGGUACCUGCCUGCUCCCCCUAACAGCAGCCUUGGUAAAACAGGAAACAGAUAAAUAACUGGUUCCUCCCUGCUCCCCCUGACAGUAGGUAAAACAGGAAACAGAUAAAUAACUGGUACCUCCCUGCUCCCCCUGACAGUAGGUAAAACAGGAAACAGAUAAAUAACUGGUACCUCUCUGCUCCCCCUGACAGUAGGUAAAACAGGAAACAGAUAAAUAACUGGUACCUCCCUGCUCCCCCUGACAGUAGGUAAAACAGGAAACAGAUAAAUAACUGAUACAUCCCUGCUCCCCCUGACAGUGGGUAAAACAGGAAACAGAUAAAUAACUGGUACCUCCCUGCUCCCCCUAACAGCAGCCUUGGUAAAACAGGAAACAGAUAAAUAACUGGUACCCCCUGCUCCCCCUAACAGCAGCCUUGGUAAAACAGGAAACAGAUAAAUAACUGGUACCCCCCUGCUCCCCCUAACAGCAGCCUUGGUAAAACAGGAAACAGAUAAAUAACUGGUACCUGCCUGCUCCCCCUGACAGUAGGUAAAACAGGAAACAGAUAAAUAACUGGUACCCCCCUGCUCCCCCUAACAGCAGCCUUGGUAAAACAGGAAACAGAUAAAUAACUGGUACCUGCCUGCUCCCCCUGACAGUAGGUAAAACAGGAAACAGAUAAAUAACUGGUCUCCUCCUGCUCCCCCUAACAGCAGCCUUGGUAAAACAGGAAACAGAUAAAUAACUGGUACCCCCCCUGCUCCCCCUAACAGCAUCCUUGGUAAAACAGGAAACAGAUAAAUAACUGGUACCUCCCUGUUCCCCCUGACAGUAGGUAAAACAGGAAACAGAUAAAUAACUGGUACCCCCCUGCUCCCCCUGACAGUAG